UAAUACGUAGGGUGCGAGCGUUGUCCGGAAUUAUUGGGCGUAAAGAGCUCGUAGGCGGUUUGUUGCGUCGGCUGUGAAAACUUCACGCUUAACGUGGAGCCUGCAGUCGAUACGGGCAGACUUGAGUUCGGCAGGGGAGACUGGAAUUCCUGGUGUAGCGGUGAAAUGCGCAGAUAUCAGGAGGAACACCGGUGGCGAAGGCGGGUCUCUGGGCCGAUACUGACGCUGAGGAGCGAAAGCGUGGGGAGCGAACAG
rnacentral:rRNA from 1 species